rnacentral:rRNA from 1 species
CAGCCGCCGCGGUAAUACGUAGGUGGCAAGCGUUGUCCGGAAUUAUUGGGCGUAAAGGGCUCGCAGGCGGUUUCUUAAGUCUGAUGUGAAAGCCCCCGGCUCAACCGGGGGGGGUCAUUGGAAACUGGGAAACUUGAGUGCAGAAGAGGAGAGUGGAAUUCCACGUGUAGCGGUGAAAUGCGUAGAGAUGUGGAGGAACACCAGUGGCGAAGGCGACUCUCUGGUCUGUAACUGACGCUGAGGAGCGAAAGCGUGGGGAGCGAACAGGAUUAGAUACCCCAGUAGUCCCUGUCUCUUAUAC